rnacentral:misc_RNA from 1 species
UUUCCGUAGGGGAACCUGCGGAAGGAUCAUUAUAAAUGAAAAACGAAUAACUUCAGGGAAGAAGGGAACCUGCACGGUGACCUCCCCUGUCGGGCCACCCAAUACCUUCAAAAUGCCGCCGUCCUAGCGGUGGCAGACGAAAAAAAAACAAGAAAAACAAAAUAGAAACAGGCACGGUGGCCCGUUCACCUUCACACAACCCUCCGAGUACCGCUUCCAUGUUGCUUCCCCGCAAAUCCACCUCUUUGGUGAGCGCGGGGGAGGUCCGCAUCAAAUUCACCUGAAUGUCACAGCAGUCAGACAGCCAUUCAUGGAAACAAUAAAACUUUCAACAACGGAUCUCUUGGUUCCC